rnacentral:rRNA from 1 species
CAGUAGCCGCGGUAAUACGUAGGUGGCAAGCGUUGUCCGGAAUUAUUGGGCGUAAAGGGCUCGCAGGCGGUUUCUUAAGUCUGAUGUGAAAGCCCCCGGCUCAACCGGGGAGGGUCAUUGGAAACUGGGAAACUUGAGUGCAGAAGAGGAGAGUGGAAUUCCACGUGUAGCGGUGAAAUGCGUAGAGAUGUGGAGGAACACCAGUGGCGAAGGCGACUCUCUGGUCUGUAACUGACGCUGAGGCGCGAAAGCGUGGGGAGCAAACAGGAUUAGAUACCCCAGUAGUCCCUGUCUCUUAUAC